rnacentral:lncRNA from 1 species
GAAAAAGAUGGUGGCGGCAACGAUAGCGGAGAUGCUGGUGGCGGUAUUAAGAAGGUGAUGGUGGUGAUGGUAAUGGAGGCACAAGCUAUAGUACAAUAAGAGUUUCUUAUUUUUAAAAAUAUUAAAAAUAUUUUUUUAUUUUUUAAUAAUAAAAAUAAGUUAAAAAAUAAAAAUAAAAAUAAUUGCUUCAAAAAUGUUUCUUAUAUCAAUUUCUAUAUUUAUUUUUUAAAUAAAAACAAGAAAAGGAUGCCAAACAAAUCCUAAAUCUAUCCUUGAGAUACCACGUUAUCCUCUUUUGGCCCUAUUAGUGAUUAAAGUAAAACUUUAGGAGAAUUAGGAUAUGUGUUACUUACAAUCUCAAGAAGAGAGGCACUUAAGGUGAAUAAUGGGGUCAAUGAUGGAAAUCUUUGUUUAACAAAGAAAAAUAUCUGGAUUAAAGC